rnacentral:misc_RNA from 1 species
AUGAAGAACGCAGUGAAAUGCGAUAAGUAGUGUGAAUUGCAGAAUUCAGUGAAUCAUCGAAUCUUUGAACGCACAUUGCGCCCUUUGGUAUUCCAAAGGGCAUGCCUGUUCGAGCGUCAUUUGUACCCUCAAGCUUUGCUUGGUGUUGGGCGUCUUGUCUCUAGCUUUGCUGGAGACUCGCCUUAAAGUAAUUGGCAGCCGGCCUACUGGUUUCGGAGCGCAGCACAAGUCGCACUCUCUAUCAGCAAAGGUCUAGCAUCCAUUAAGCCUUUUUUUCAACUUUUGACCUCGGAUCAGGUAGGGAUACCCGCUGAACUUAAGCAUAUCAAUAAGCGGAGGA